rnacentral:rRNA from 1 species
GCGGACGGGUGAGUAACACGUGGGUAACCUGCCUGUAAGACUGGGAUAACUCCGGGAAACCGGAGCUAAUACCGGAUAGUUCCUUGAACCGCAUGGUUCAAGGAUGAAAGACGGUUUCGGCUGUCACUACAGAUGGACCCGCGGCGCAUUAGCUAGUUGGUGGGGUAAUGGCUCACCAAGGCGACGAUGCGUAGCCGACCUGAGAGGGUGAUCGGCCACACUGGGACUGAGACACGGCCCAGACUCCUACGGGAGCAGCAGUAGGGAAUCUUCCGCAAUGGACGAAAGUCUGACGGAGCAACGCCGCGUGAGUGAUGAAGGUUUUCGGAUCGUAAAGCUCUGUUGUUAGGGAAGAACAAGUGCGAGAGUAACUGCUCGCACUUGACGGUACCUAACCAGAAAGCCACGGCUAACUACGUGCCAGCAGCCGCGGUAAUACGUAGGUGGCAAGCGUUGUCCGGAAUUAUUGGGCGUAAAGGGCUCGCAGGCGGUUUCUUAAGUCUGAUGUAAAGCCCCCGGCUCAACCGGGGAGGGUCAUUGGAAACUGGGAAACUUGAGUGCAGAAGAGGAGAGUGGAAUUCCACGUGUAGCGGUGAAAUGCGUAGAGAUGUGGAGGAACACCAGUGGCGAAGGCGCUCUCUGGUCUGUAACUGACGCUGAGGAGCGAAAGCGUGGGGAGCGAACAGGAUUAGAUACCCUGGUAGUCCACGCCGUAAACGAUGAGUGCUAAGUGUUAGGGGGUUUCCGCCCCUUAGUGCUGCACUAACGCAUAAG